GGGUGACUAGUGACAGAGUGAGAGAGAGGGUGACUAGUGACAGAGUGAGGGAGGGGGUGACUAGUGACAGAGUGAAGGAGGUGGUGACUGUCACUAGUCACCCCCUCCCCUCCCUCACUCUGUCACUAGUCACCCCCUCCCUCUCUCUGUCACUAGUGACACCCUCCCUCACUCUGUCACUAGUCACACCCUUCCUGUUACUAGUCACCCCCUCCCUCUCUCUGUCACUAGUCACACCCUCCCUCUCUCUGUCACUAGUCACACC